rnacentral:rRNA from 1 species
GACGAACGCUGGCGGCGUGCCUAAUACAUGCAAGUUGAGCGCUGAAGGUUGGUACUUGUACCCACUGGAUGAGCAGCGAACGGGUGAGUAACGCGUGGGGAAUCUGCCUUUGAGCGGGGGACAACAUUUGGAAACGAAUGCUAAUACCGCAUAAAAACUUUAAACACAAGUUUUAAGUUUGAAAGAUGCAAUUGCAUCACUCAAAGAUGAUCCCGCGUUGUAUUAGCUAGUUGGUGAGGUAAAGGCUCACCAAGGCGAUGAUACAUAGCCGACCUGAGAGGAGGGUUGGCCCACGUUGGGACUAGGAAACGGCCCAAACUCCAACGGAAGGCGACAGUCGGGAAUCUCGGCAAUGGACGAAAGUCUGACCGAGCAACGCCGCGUGAGUGAAGAAGGUUGUCGGAUCGUAAAACUCUGUUGGUAGAGAAGAACGUUGGUGAGAGUGGAAAGCUCAUCAAGUGACGGUAACUACCCAGAAAGGGACGGCUAACUACGUG